AGAGUUGAUCUGGCUCAGGAUGAACGCUGGCGGCGUGACUUAACACGAUGCAAGUCGAACGGAGUUUUAACGGAAGUUUCGGAUGGAAGUUAGAACUAGUGGCGGACGGGUGAGUAACGCGUGGGUAACCUGCCUCAGUACAGGGGGAUAACAGUUAGAAAUGACUGCUAACACCGCAUAAUAUAGCGAAACCGCAUGAUUUUGCUAUCAAAUAUUUAUAGGGUAUGAGAUGGGCCCGCGUCUGAUUAGCUAGUUGGUGGGGUAAAGGCCUACCAAGGCGACGAUCAGUAGCCGGCUUGAGAGAGUGACCGGCCACAUUGGGACUGAGACACGGCCCAAACUCCUACGGGAGGCAGCAGUGGGGAAUAUUGGACAAUGGGGGAAACCCUGAUCCAGCGAACCGCCGCGUGGGUGAAGAAGUAUUUCGGUAUGUAAAGCUCUAUCAGCAGGGAAGAUAAUGACAGUACCUGACUAAGAAGCCCGGCUAACUACGUGCCAGCAGCUGC
rnacentral:rRNA from 1 species